GACGAACGCUGGCGGCGUGCUUAACACAUGCAAGUCGAACGGAAAGGCCCUGCUUUUGUGGGGUGCUCGAGUGGCGAACGGGUGAGUAACACGUGAGUAACCUGCCCUUGACUUUGGGAUAACUUCAGGAAACUGGGGCUAAUACCGGAUAGGAGCUCCUGCUGCAUGGUGGGGGUUGGAAAGUUUCGGCGGUUGGGGAUGGACUCGCGGCUUAUCAGCUUGUUGGUGGGGUAGUGGCUUACCAAGGGUUUGACGGGUAGCCGGCCUGAGAGGGUGACCGGCCACAUUGGGACUGAGAGACGGCCCAGACUCCUACGGGAGGCAGCAGUGGGGAAUAUUGCACAAUGGGCGGAAGUCUGAUGCAGCGACGCCGCGUGCGGGAUGACGGCCUUCGGGUUGUAAACCGCUUUCGCCUGUGACGAAGCGUGAGUGACGGUAAUGGGUAAAGAAGCACCGGCUAACUACGUG
rnacentral:rRNA from 1 species